UAUCAGACUUGUUGAAAAGUUGUUCCAACAAGUCCGAUACAGUCAUGAUAUAACAAUAUUGUAACAACCUUAUGUCGUCAGCCAUGUAACAUUCUUGUUAUAUCAUGACUGAAUCAGACUUGUUAGAAAAACCUUGUAACAAGUCUGAUA